AACGAACGCUGGCGGCAGGCCUAACACAUGCAAGUCGAACGCCCUAGCAAUAGGGAGUGGCAGACGGGUGAGUAACACGUGGGAACCUUCCCUAUAGUACGGAAUAGCCCAGGGAAACUUGGAGUAAUACCGUAUACGCUCGAGAGGGGAAAGAUUUAUCGCUAUAGGAUGGGCCCGCGUAGGAUUAGCUAGUUGGUGAGGUAAUGGCUCACCAAGGCGACGAUCCUUAGCGGGUCGGAGAGGCCGGCACGCCACACUGGGACUGAGACACGGCCCAGACUCCUAGGGGAGGCAGCAGUGGGAAAUAUUGGACAUUGGGCGCAGGCUGAAUCCACCCUGCCCGCGUGGGGGAUGAAGGCUUUAGGGUUGAAAAGCUCUUUCACCGGUGAAGAUAAGGCGGUAACCCGGAAAAGAGGCCCGGGCUAACUUCGUGCCGGCCGCCGCGUUAA
rnacentral:rRNA from 1 species